GGUGGAGCGAUUUGUCUGGUUAAUUCCGAUAACGAACGAGACUCUAGCCUGCUAAAUAGGCAGCGAAUUAUUUGUUCGCUGUACUUCUUAGAGGGACAAGCAGCUUCUAGCUGCACGAGAUUGAGCAAUAACAGGUCUGUGAUGCCCUUAGAUGUCCGGGGCUGCACGCGCGCUACACUGAAGGAAUCAACAUGUUUCUUUACCUUACCCGGAAGGGUUAGGUAACCCGUUGAAACUCCUUCGUGAUUGGGAUAGGGAAUUGCAAUUAUUUCCCUUGAACGAGGAAUUCCCAGUAAGUGCGGGUCAUCAGCUCGUGCUGAAUACGUCCCUGCCCUUUGUAC
rnacentral:rRNA from 1 species